ensembl:snRNA U6 U6 spliceosomal RNA
GUGCUCGAUUCAGCAGCACAUAUACUAAAACUGAAAUGAUGCAGAGAAGAUUCACAUGGCCCCUGCUCAAGGAUGACAUGCAAAUUCGUGAAGCGUACCAUAUUUUU